UACGUAGGGGGCAAGCGUUGUCCGGAAUCAUUGGGCGUAAAGAGCGUGUAGGCGGCUCGAUAAGUCUGCUGUGAAAGUCCAGGGCUCAACCCUGGAAGGCCGGUGGAAACUGUCGGGCUAGAGUCCGGAAGAGGCGAGUGGAAUUCCUGGUGUAGCGGUGAAAUGCGCAGAUAUCAGGAGGAACACCGAUGGCGAAGGCAGGUCUCUGGGCAUUAACUGACGCUGAGGAGCGAAAGCAUGGGGAGCGAACAGG
rnacentral:rRNA from 1 species